rnacentral:rRNA from 1 species
AGAGCGAACGCUGGCGGCAUGCUUAACACAUGCAAGUCGCACGGGCAUUUCGGUGUCAGUGGCGGACGGGUGAGUAACGCGUAGGUAUCUAUCCUUGGGUGGGGGAUAACGGCUGGAAACGGCUGCUAAUACCGCAUGAUAACUGAGGUUCAAAGGCGCAAGUCGCCUGGGGAGGAGCCUGCGUACGAUUAGCUAGUUGGUGGGGUAAAGGCCUACCAAGGCUGCGAUCGUUAGCUGGUCUGAGAGGAUGAUCAGCCACAUUGGGACUGAGACACGGCCCAAACUCCUACGGGAGGCAGCAGUGGGGAAUAUUGGACAAUGGGCGAAAGCCUGAUCCAGCAAUGCCGCGUGUGUGAAGAAGGUCUUCGGAUUGUAAAGCACUUUCGACGGGGACGAUGAUGACGGUACCCGUAGAAGAAGCCCCGGCUAACGUUCGUGCCAGCAGCCGC